rnacentral:rRNA from 1 species
AGAGUUUGAUCCUGGCUCAGGAUGAACGCUAGCGGCAGGCUUAAUACAUGCAAGUCGAACGGUAACAUGAGAGCUUGCUCUUGAUGACGAGUGGCGCACGGGUGCGUAACGCGUAUGCAACCUACCCUUUACUGGAGGAUAGCCCGGAGAAAUUCGGAUUAAUACUCCAUAGUAUCAUAAUGCAACCUUGUAUAAUGAUUAAAGAUUUAUUGGUAAAGGAUGGGCAUGCGUGACAUUAGUUAGUUGGUGAGGUAACGGCUCACCAAGACGAUGAUGUCUAGGGGUUCUGAGAGGAUGAUCCCCCACACUGGUACUGAGACACGGACCAGACUCCUACGGGAGGCAGCAGUAGGGAAUAUUGGUCAAUGGGCGAGAGCCUGAACCAGCCAUGCCGCGUGUAGGAAGACGGCCUUCUGGGUUGUAAACUACUUUUAUAUAGGAACAAAUGGGCCAUGCGUGGCAAGUUGAGUGUACUAUAUGAAUAAGCACCGCUAACU